UUUACGGGGUAAUAAAAAUAUUCCACAUUUUGAUUGUGGUGGUGAUUACAAAACAGUACAUUUUUCAAAAGUCAUAGAACUAUGUAUUUCAAAAAGGUGAAUUUUCCCACAUAUAAAUUGUAACUCAAUAAACUUGACUGAUACACAAUGUACUUACCAAUUGGAUCCAUGGCAACAAUGGGUUUGGAAGGACGACUUGGUUUCCCAGACCCUCUUGCAUUAAUGGCUGUGACACGGUGUUCAUAUUCUAAGCCUUCAAUAAGGCCAGUGGAGCGGUACCGUGUCAUCGUCACAGGUACUUUAUUUACACGGACCCAUCGAUCUGCUCUCACUUCUUUGCGCUCCACAAUGUAUCCAGUCACUUGGGAGCCACCGUCAUCCUCUGGUGGGUACCAAGUAAGUGUCAUGCCAUCACGGGAAACAUCAAAUAUCUGUAAUGUUUCUGGGGGUCCAGGAAUACCUGCAGCAAGACAGAGGUUAACACGAUAUGGCAAUAUGAAUAAGUUAAAACAAUGACUCAUAUAUUUAUGUUUUCCUUAGGUUUUGGUUGGUAUUUUAAAAGAUACAUAAGACACAUGACUAUUUUUCCAAUAGUUUCACUUUUGUACUAUUUGUAAAUUUUAAUUUAAAUCAUUUAAUUAUUUAAUUAUUUUUAUUAAAAAUUUUUGACCUUUAUUUUA
rnacentral:antisense_RNA from 1 species